rnacentral:rRNA from 1 species
AUUGAACGCUGGCGGCAUGCCUUACACAUGCAAGUCGAACGGCAGCACGGGAGCAAUCCUGGUGGCGAGUGGCGAACGGGUGAGUAACGCAUCGGAACGUGCCCAGUAGUGGGGGAUAGCCCGGCGAAAGCCGGAUUAAUACCGCAUACGACCUACGGGUGAAAGCGGGGGAUCGAAAGACCUCGCGCUAUUGGAGCGGCCGAUGUCAGAUUAGGUUGUUGGUGGGGGUAAAAGCCUACCAAGCCGACGAUCUGUAGCUGGUCUGAGAGGACGACCAGCCACACUGGGACUGAGACACGGCCCAGACUCCUACGGGAGGCAGCAGUGGGGGAAUUUUGGACAAUGGGCGCAAGCCUGAUCCAGCCAUGCCGCGUGCGGGAAGAAGGCC